UACGUAUGGAGCAAGCGUUAUCCGGAUUUACUGGGUGUAAAGGGAGUGUAGGUGGCCAUGCAAGUCAGAAGUGAAAAUCCGGGGCUCAACCCCGGAACUGCUUUUGAAACUGUGAGGCUGGAGUGCAGGAGGGGUGAGUGGAAUUCCUAGUGUAGCGGUGAAAUGCGUAGAUAUUAGGAGGAACACCAGUGGCGAAGGCGGCUCACUGGACUGUAACUGACACUGAGGCUCGAAAGCGUGGGGAGCAAACAGG
rnacentral:rRNA from 1 species